UUUAUUCUCCGUCCCAAGAAGCCGGGGGUAAAUACGGGGGGGGCCAAGGUUUUAAUCGGGAAUUACUGGGGCAAAAAGCGCGCGUAGGUGGCUUUAUAAGCCGGUUGUAAAAGCCCGGGGCUCAACCUGGGAACGGCAUCCGGAACUGUCAAGCUAGAGUGCAGGAGAGGAAGGUAGAAUUCCCGGUGUAGCGGUGAAAUGCGUAGAGAUCGGGAGGAAUACCAGUGGCGAAGGCGGCCUUCUGGACUGACACUGACACUGAGGUGCGAAAGCGUGGGUAGCAAACAGGAUUAGAUACCCUGGUAGUCCACGCCGUAAACGAUGUCGACCAGCCGUUGGGUGCCUAGCGCACUUUGUGGCGAAGUUAACGCGAUAAGUCGACCGCCUGGGGAGUACGGCCGCAAGGUUAAAACUCAAAUGAAUUGACGGGGGCCCGCACAAGCGGUGGAGCAUGUGGUUUAAUUCGAUGCAACGCGAAGAACCUUACCUACUCUUGACAUCCUGCGAAUUUGGUAGAGAUACCUUAGUGCCUUCGGGAACGCAGAGACAGGUGCUGCAUGGCUGUCGUCAGCUCGUGUUGUGAAAUGUUGGGUUAAGUCCCGUAACGAGCGCAACCCUUGUCCUUAUUUGCCAGCGCGUAAUGGCGGGAACUCUAAGGAGACUGCCGGUGACAAACCGGAGGAAGGUGGGGACGAUGUCAAGUCAUCAUGGCCCUUACGAGUAGGGCUACACACGUGCUACAAUGGUCGGUACAAAGGGUUGCCAACUCGCGAGAGUGAGCCAAUCCCGAAAAGCCGAUCUCAGUCCGGAUCGGAGUCUGCAACUCGACUCCGUGAAGUCGGAAUCGCUAGUAAUCGUGGAUCAGAAUGCCACGGUGAAUACGUUCCCGAGCCUUGUACACACCGCCCGUCACACCAUGGGAGUGGACUGCACCAGAAGUGGUUAGCCUAACGCAAGAGGGCGAUCACCACGGUGUGGGGUGAAGUCGUAACAAGGUAACCGUA
rnacentral:rRNA from 1 species